UGGCUCAGGACGAACGCUGGCGGCGUGCCUAAUACAUGCAAGUCGAGCGAGCUUGCCUAGAUGAAUUUGGUGCUUGCACCAGAUGAAACUAGAUACAAGCGAGCGGCGGACGGGUGAGUAACACGUGGGUAACCUGCCCAAGAGACUGGGAUAACACCUGGAAACAGAUGCUAAUACCGGAUAACAACACUAGACGCAUGUCUAGAGUUUAAAAGAUGGUUCUGCUAUCACUCUUGGAUGGACCUGCGGUGCAUUAGCUAGUUGGUAAGGUAACGGCUUACCAAGGCAAUGAUGCAUAGCCGAGUUGAGAGACUGAUCGGCCACAUUGGGACUGAGACACGGCCCAAACUCCUACGGGAGGCAGCAGUAGGGAAUCUUCCACAAUGGACGCAAGUCUGAUGGAGCAACGCCGCGUGAGUGAAGAAGGGUUUCGGCUCGUAAAGCUCUGUUGGUAGUGAAGAAAGAUAGAGGUAGUAACUGGCCUUUAUUUGACGGUAAUUACUUAGAAAGUCACGGCUAACUACGUGCCAGCAGC
rnacentral:rRNA from 1 species